rnacentral:tRNA from 2 species
GCCGAGUUGGUCAGCCGGAAGGAGGCAACCAUGCUUUUUGCUCAAGAGCGUGGGGAGGGUUUGAGUGCCUUGCUCGGCA